rnacentral:rRNA from 1 species
UGCGUAGGCGGCAAUGCAAGUCAGAUGUGAAAUGCACGGGCUCAACCCGUGAGCUGCAUUUGAAACUGUGUUGCUUGAGUGAGGUAGAGGCAGGCGGAAUUCCCGGUGUAGCGGUGAAAUGCGUAGAGAUCGGGAGGAACACCAGUGGCGAAGGCGGCCUGCUGGGCCUUAACUGACGCUGAUGCACGAAAGCGUGGGUAGCAAACA